UUUGCUUCUCAGCCCUCUGGCUAAGAUCAAAUGUAGUAUCUGCUGUUUGCGUCACUUUAAAUCUGAAUUUUUUUUCUAUUGCUUUAUAGGGUAUGGCAAUCAAUACAUUAAAGUAAAGAUGGUGCCAAGAAGAAACUUAAAACUGCACUUACUUUGAGUUUUUAAAAAAAU
ensembl:snRNA U2 U2 spliceosomal RNA